UACGGAGGAUGCAAGCGUUAUCCGGAUUUAUUGGGUUUAAAGGGUGCGCAGGUUGUUUGAUAAGUCAGUGGUGAAAGUCUGUCGCUUAACGGUAGGAUUGCCAUUGAUACUGUUAGACUUGAAUAUGGAUGAGGUAGGCGGAAUGUGUAGUGUAGCGGUGAAAUGCUUAGAUAUGACGCAGAACUCCGAUUGCGAAGGCAGCUUACUGGGAUGCAACUGACGCUGAGGCACGAAAGCGUGGGUAUCAAACA
rnacentral:rRNA from 1 species